rnacentral:misc_RNA from 1 species
CUGAGUGAGGGCCUUCGGGCUCGACCUCCAACCCUUUGUGAACACCAACUUGUUGCUUCGGGGGCGACCCUGCCGUUUCAACGGCGAGCGCCCCCGGAGACCAUCAAACACUGCAUCUUUGUGUCGGAGUUUAAGUAAAUUAAACA